rnacentral:rRNA from 1 species
GACGUAGGGCGCGAGCGUUGUCCGGAUUUAUUGGGCGUAAAGAGCUCGUAGGCGGCUUGUUGCGUCGACCGUGAAAACCCGGGGCUCAACUUCGGGCUUGCGGUCGAUACGGGCGGGCUAGAGUUCGGUAGGGGAGACUGGAAUUCCUGGUGUAGCGGGUGAAAUGCGCAGAUAUCAGGAGGAACACCGGUGGCGAAGGCGGGUCUCUGGGCCGAUACUGACGCUGAGGAGCGAAAGCGUGGGGAGCGAACAGG